GAUGAACGCUGGCGGCGUGCCUAAUACAUGCAAGUCGAGCGAACGGACGAGAAGCUUGCUUCUCUGAUGUUAGCGGCGGACGGGUGAGUAACACGUGGAUAACCGACCUAUAAGACUGGGAUAACUUCGGGAAACCGGAGCUAAUACCGGAUAAUAUUUUGAAACGCAUGGUUCAAAAGUGAAAGACGGUCUUGCUGUCACUUAUAGAUGGAUCCGCGCUGCAUUAGCUAGUUGGUAAGGUAACGGCUUACCAAGGCAACGAUGCAUAGCCGACCUGAGAGGGUGAUCGGCCACACUGGAACUGAGACACGGUCCAGACUCCUACGGGAGGCAGCAGUAGGGAAUCUUCCGCAAUGGGCGAAAGCCUGACGGAGCAACGCCGCGUGAGUGAUGAAGGUCUUCGGAUCGUAAAACUCUGUUAUUAGGGAAGAACAUAUGUGUAAGUAACUGUGCACAUCUUGACGGUACCUAAUCAGAAAGCCACGGCUAACUACGUG
rnacentral:rRNA from 1 species